GUCCUCUCAGUAUCGCACCUGGAGAGUUUCCAGUAUUCUACCAGUCUCAGCUAUAGGAGAGAGAGAGUCAAGCAGAGGCAAACCCAUUCCAUUCCUAGCAUGGGCAGUGGCUAGGAAAUGGAAGGCAAUCUGCUACAAGU
rnacentral:snoRNA from 2 species